CAGCCGCCGCGGUAAUACGGAGGGUGCAAGCGUUAAUCGGAAUUACUGGGCGUAAAGCGCACGCAGGCGGUCUGACAAGUCAGAUGUGAAAUCCCCGGGCUUAACCUGGGAACUGCAUUUGAAACUGUCAGGCUGGAGUCUUGUAGAGGGGGGUGGAAUUCCAGGUGUAGCGGUGAAAUGCGUAGAGAUCUGGAGGAAUACCGGUGGCGAAGGCGGCCCCCUGGACAAAGACUGACGCUCAGGUGCGAAAGCGUGGGGAGCAAACAGGAUUAGAUACCCGAGUAGUCCCUGUCUCUUAUAC
rnacentral:rRNA from 1 species